CGCCUACGGGGGGCAGCAGUGGGGGAUAUUGGGCAAUGGGGGAAACCCUGACCCAGCGACGCCGCGUGAGGGAAGAAGGUUUUCGGAUUGUAAACCUCUGUCCUUGGUGACGAUAAUGACGGUAGCCAAGGAGGAAGCCCCGGCUAACUACGGGCCAGCAGCCGCGGUAAUACGUAGGGGGCAAGCGUUAUCCGGAUUUACUAGGUGUAAAGGGGGCGCAGACGGCAAUGCAAGCCAGGAGUGAAAGCCCGGGGCCCAACCCCGG
rnacentral:rRNA from 1 species